rnacentral:tRNA from 1 species
GCCCGCUUGGCUAAGCGGUAUAGCGUGUCACUAGUAUUCUAACAUGACAUGACAAGGUGAUCAGUUCGACUCUGAUAGUGGGCA